CCCUAGCCCCGAUAGAAACGGCAUCCUUUUGGGUUGCGGCCGGAGCAAAGCGGAGGCCGUAACCCAAAAGAUAUAGUGGAUAGCGGGAUCAGCU
rnacentral:sRNA from 1 species